AACUCAGCAGUAUAUAUACCCGGCUCUCCAUCCCCUCAUCGCCAGAUCGUUGUUUCAACUACUGCGGUAGACUAUGGAUCACAAAUCACCCACCUGCCUUCCUGCUCAGCCAUCUGCCUCAACCUGCUCUCUGGACUCAGAACUGCUCAGCCACACUCACACCCCUACUUAGGUCUGGUCAGCCUUCGUCCCCUUCACUCUGCUAACUUCUGGAAUCUUCAACCCAUCUUCAUCUCCAUUUGCCGCAAUAAACCUCAUUACCAAUCAA